GGGUGAUAGGAACAGCUAACAGCCCCUGCCCCUCACAACGACCGGGGCUUGUGGGGUUGAAGUCACAUUAACCUCGAUUUAGAGAAGAUAAAACGGGCAGUGUCUUUGCCGAAGCGGACUGGGGGUUGCAAAUUCCCGUCAGCCCAGGGGUUGGCUGCACCUGCUGACUGUUGGCCGUGGGCGCUUUCUGGUCUCGCUGAUCGUCAUUGCCAUCAAUACGUGGAAGUGCAAAUACCGUGGAAGGAAGACUUGAGAGAAAAACACAAAAUAGUAACUGUACUUGUGCCAGAGUGGUGGGAAUUUUUCUUUCUUUUUCAUAUUUUCAGAAAUGUCCAUACUGCUAAAAUCCUUUGUCUUAAGGAAAACGCCUGUCAAGAAGCCCCUCUGUGCCGGGGCUGCGCAGGGACCCGGCACGGCCGGCAGGGGGCGCGCGCGCCAUCCCGGAGUCUCGUUGCGCAGGGUUGGGAGCGGGGCGCGGAGGACGCGGGCGGGGCGGGAGUCCCCAAGGACGAGUAAGAAAAGUCGUUUGGAGGAAAAGAGGAAAGAAGAGGAAAAGAAGGAAGGAACAGAAAUACAGUAGAGUGAAAAAAGUAAGACGUGAGCAGGGUUCCCUCGGUGAUGGACGUUUCUCAGCGGUCGCCUGGCUCUGGCCCCGCCCCCGCCCUCCCGUAGCCCCACCUGAGUUGCUUUGGACCAGUGGCUUCAUUUCUCUCUGUCUCCAGGCAGGAAGGGAGGGAAGAAAGAAAGGAGAAAGGGAGGGGAGGGCAGGAGGGAGGAAAAGGGAACGAGAGGAGGGAAAGGCCUCCAUUAGUUGUCAGACAACCUCUCAGGUGCCAGAGGUCCUGGUCCCCUGGGGACAGUCAUUGUGACAGGUGCUGGGUGAGAGCACAGGCCCUGGAAGAAGGAACGCACAGCCAGUCACCUUCACAGGGGUUUGCAGGGCUCACCAAAAGGUGGCAUUUUGUUCCAGGCAGGGUGCAGGAAUGAAAUCCUCACGUUGGGAACAAGCUGGCGUGUCCACGGACCCCCAGGGACUCCUGGGAUCCGGGGAACCUUCCCGGGGUCGCCGUGGCCGCAGCAAAGCUUUGCGGACGGUGGUGUUUUCUAAGCUGGUCUCCCGCUUCUGCCCCUUGUGCACCCAGCUGGCCUGGAGCCCCAGCACCCCGAGAUCUGCACGUCUGUCCUUGACCUGCUGCCCCAGCUCCAGGUCCUUCGAUGAAUGCCCUCUCAGGAAGUACCUGGAGCGGCUCAGUUUUCCCGGCUGUACCGACUUGUGCCAGCUGUCAGCGAUAUUUUCCAGGCCAGCUUUAUAUCAACUCUCCCUCCAGCCACCUGCCAAUAGAUCGUGUUUAUUCUGGAUUUCAUUGUCAUCAGAGACUGAGCUACUCAAGGUGAGGACACUCAAGUUGCAGGUGUCCAUUCCAUUGCAGUGACAUGGAGGACUUCCUUAACAUCGGUCUCCAGUGGUUUGGCCAAAAGGUUUACAAAUCGAAGGCAUCCUCUGAAUAGGAGGUGAGGUCCACCUUAACAAAUGCCGUGGCUGGGGGUGUGCGGUGGGAGACAGGAAUUGGUUUAUCGCCCUGCUGGUAUGUGAUUUGUGUGUUUCCAUGGAAAGUGAACAUACUUUCUUUUUUUUUAACCUUAUCCCCUCCUCGAUGUCUUAUGCUGAGAGUUUCAAACCUUCAUGAACGGUGU
rnacentral:lncRNA from 1 species